rnacentral:rRNA from 1 species
UACGGGGGGGCAAGCGUUGUUCGGAAUUACUGGGCGUAAAGGGCUCGUAGGUGGCCAACUAAGUCACACGUGAAAUCCCUCGGCUUAACCGGGGAACUGCGUGUGAUACUGGAUGGCUUGAGUUUGGGAGAGGGAUGCGGAAUUCCAGGUGUAGCGGUGAAAUGCGUAGAUAUCUGGAGGAACACCGGUGGCGAAGGCGGCCAUCUGGACAGAUACUGACGCUGAGACGCGAAAGCGUGGGGAGCAAACAGG